UGUACACUGCUACAUUGUAUAAGUGUACAUGUAUAAGUGUACACGUACACUGCUACAUUGUAUGUGUAUAUGUUUAAGUGUACACGUACAUUGCUACAUUGUGUAGAGUAAGGGUACAUGAUUUCGAACAGGACGUGAUUUCGUACACUAAAUAUAUUUUUUCUUAUUUUUCAACCGAUCACUUUCGAUGGAGGCAUAAAAUUGCUCCAACAGCAAACCAUUGCUAUUGUCCUUCUUCGGUGAUGCUUAAUAUAGAUUUUCCAAAUAACCUCGUUUUUAAAACGAAACAAGCGAGUAGAGUUGUCGUCUUCAGAAUGGGCCCAAUGUGACUUUAAAGCAUUAUUUAAAACAGAAUCUAGCCAAUUUUCUUGUGAUCACUUUGAGAUCAGUUAAAUAAAACAAUAUUUUACCAUUUGCAUCAAGAAGAUUUUAAAAAGAAGCUCAAAUAUAACAAAUUCAAAUUUAACGUACACGCCCACUCAAUGACAAGGCACCAAUCGUAGGGAACAGUCAUUAUUUCAAAACUCAUCUUAAAUAUUUGUUUGUUUUUGGCCUCAAAAACCUUCUAGAGCAUUGAAAUUGUUUUAUAAAACAUCCAAUGAAAUAAUUGCUACUAGAAUAUGUAUAGUUGAUAUUUUUUCCACAAAAGGGUCGAUGUCACCACCAACAAAGGACAGGUUUUUUAUAAAAAAUCAUAACUUGUUCAAAAAACAUUUCUGGUCUAUGAAAAUCGGCAAAUCUGAAUGAAAUAUAUUGAAUUCAUACGACAUAUACUUAUAUUCGAUUUAUUUACUAUGAAUAGCACAUUUGUAGAGUGUACGAAAUCACGUCCCCAACUGCUGCGAAACGUGGAAGUAAAUGAUGGUAAAAGAAAGAUCCCCUGCGCAGUAAAUUUCUGCGCAUAUGACGUCACAUUACCGAAUAUAGCGCAGAUUGCAUACAUCUUUUAGGUCAAAGUAGAUCCGUUUUUCUUGGGAUGUAUUUGAAAAAAAAUAUGUAAAUCUGUUUCAAAAGUGUACGAAAUCAGGUACCCUCACUCAAUAUGUUCAUUGCUACUCAUACACUCCUACAUUUCUACCAAACAUUACUGCUAACAGAGAAGUGGAUGUUACCACUGUCCAUGAUCCUGUUUUGUAGGUGGUGAUGUGUUGUAAUGUAAUGCAGUCCUGAUGUUACCAUUGUCCUUGAACCUGUUUUGUAGGUGGUGAUGUGUUGUAAUGUAAUGCAGUCCUGAAGAGUCAGUUACAUUUAACUCAAGUGUUCAACAAUUACUUAUCAGAAUGAUAUGUAGUAGUUUGUUUUGAAUAUGAUUUUUGUUAUCAUCAGUUGGUGCCUAUUUCAUUUACCUUUUUUAGUUAAAAUGAACAUUAUCAAUAUUUUAUAAUUGUUUUAGUUAAUUGUCAUGUUAGAUUUAUCACAUACUUUGCUAUACUCCUCAUUUUGUUUUACAGUCACCAAAUAUCAAGCCUUGCUGAGUUAGAAAGGCAUGUACAAAUAUAAAAAAUGAAGUUCAGAAAGCUUCAUCUUCAGAACUAUUGACCACUUCUGAGGUGUUGGGUCAUGCUAGUGCUCAGCUACAUUACUGGUUUCGUUAAAUUGAUCAGGCAUCCCUUGGGCAGUGGUGCUGAAUAAAUAUAUUUUUUUUGUUAAAACCUG
rnacentral:lncRNA from 1 species